UACGUAGGUGGCAAGCGUUGUCCGGAUUUACUGGGCGUAAAGGGCGUGCAGGCGGUCUGUUAAGUUCAGGGUGAAAGCUCCCGGCUCAACUGGGAGAGGUCCUUGGAUACUGGCAGACUUGAGGGAGGUAGAGGAGAGUGGAAUUCCCGGUGUAGUGGUGAUAUGCGUAGAUAUCGGGAGGAACACCAGUGGCGAAGGCGGCUCUCUGGGCCUUGCCUGACGCUGAGACGCGAAAGCGUGGGGAGCGAACCGG
rnacentral:rRNA from 1 species